rnacentral:rRNA from 1 species
GACGAACGCUGGCGGCGUGCUUAACACAUGCAAGUCGAACGGAAAGGCCCUGCUUUUGUGGGGUGCUCGAGUGGCGAACGGGUGAGUAACACGUGAGUAACCUGCCCUUGACUUUGGGAUAACUUCAGGAAACUGGGGCUAAUACCGGAUAGGAGCUCCUGCUGCAUGGUGGGGGUUGGAAAGUUUCGGCGGUUGGGGAUGGACUCGCGGCUUAUCAGCUUGUUGGUGGGGUAGUGGCUUACCAAGGCUUUGACGGGUAGCCGGCCUGAGAGGGUGACCGGCCACAUUGGGACUGAGAUACGGCCCAGACUCCUACGGGAGGCAGCAGUGGGGAAUAUUGCACAAUGGGCGGAAGCCUGAUGCAGCAACGCCGCGUGCGGGAUGACGGCCUUCGGGUUGUAAACCGCUUUCGCCUGUGACGAAGCGUGAGUGACGGUAAUGGGUAAAGAAGCACCGGCUAACUACGUGCCAGCAGCCGCGGUGAUACGUAGGGUGCGAGCGUUGUCCGGAUUUAUUGGGCGUAAAGGGCUCGUAGGUGGUUGAUCGCGUCGGAAGUGUAAUCUUGGGGCUUAACCCUGAGCGUGCUUUCGAUACGGGUUGACUUGAGGAAGGUAGGGGAGAAUGGAAUUCCUGGUGGAGCGGUGGAAUGCGCAGAUAUCAGGAGGAACACCAGUGGCGAAGGCGGUUCUCUGGGCCUUUCCUGACGCUGAGGAGCGAAAGCGUGGGGAGCGAACAGGCUUAGAUACCCUGGUAAUCCACGCUGUAAACGGUGGGUACUAGGUGUGGGGUCCAUUCCACGGGUUCCGUGCCGUAGCUAACGCUUUAAGUACCCCGCCUGGGGAGUACGGCCGCAAGGCUAAAACUCAAAGGAAUUGACGGGGCCCCGCACAAGCGGCGGAGCAUGCGGAUUAAUUCGAUGCAACGCGUAGAACCUUACCUGGGUUUGACAUGGAUCGGGAGCGCUCAGAGAUGGGUGUGCCUCUUUUGGGGUCGGUUCACAGGUGGUGCAUGGCUGUCGUCAGCUCGUGUCGUGAGAUGUUGGGUUAAGUCCCGCAACGAGCGCAACCCUUGUUCACUGUUGCCAGCACGUUAUGGUGGGGACUCAGUGGAGACCGCCGGGGUCAACUCGGAGGAAGGUGGGGAUGACGUCAAGUCAUCAUGCCCCUUAUGUCCAGGGCUUCACGCAUGCUACAAUGGCUGGUACAGAGAGUGGCGAGCCUGUGAGGGUGAGCGAAUCUCGGAAAGCCGGUCUCAGUUCGGAUUGGGGUCUGCAACUCGACCUCAUGAAGUCGGAGUCGCUAGUAAUCGCAGAUCAGCAACGCUGCGGUGAAUACGUUCCCGGGGCU